rnacentral:rRNA from 1 species
AGUGAACGCUGGCGGUAUGCCUAACACAUGCAAGUCGAACGGCAGCACAGUAAGAGCUUGCUCUUACGGGUGGCGAGUGGCGGACGGGUGAGGAAUACAUCGGAAUCUACUUUUUCGUGGGGGAUAACGUAGGGAAACUUACGCUAAUACCGCAUACGACCUACGGGUGAAAUCAGGGGAUCUUCGGACCUUGCGCGAUUGAAUGAGCCGAUGUCGGAUUAGCUAGUUGGCGGGGUAAAGGCCCACCAAGGCGACGAUCCGUAGCUGGUCUGAGAGGAUGAUCAGCCACACUGGAACUGAGACACGGUCCAGACUCCUACGGGAGGCAGCAGUGGGGAAUAUUGGACAAUGGGCGCAAGCCUGACCCAGCAAUACCGCGUGGGUGAAGAAGGCCUUCGGGUUGUAAAGCCCUUUUGUUGGGAAAGAAAAGAAGCAGGUUAAUACCCCGCUGUUCUGACGGUACCCAAAGAAUAAGCACCGGCUAACUUCGUG